ACUUACGGCCAUACCGUCCUGAACACGCCCGAUCUCGUCUGAUCUCGGAAGCUAAGCAGGGUCGGGCCUGUUUAGUGCUUGGAUGGGAGACUGCCUUGGAAUACCAGGUGCUGUAAGUG
rnacentral:rRNA from 1 species